rnacentral:lncRNA from 1 species
CUUUACACUAUUUCAUAUUUUUCAAUGGCCGCAUCAAAAUAACCCACCUCCAAUGGCAUAGCCCUUAGUUUCUCUUUGAAUUCCGGCUUAAAACCCUCAUCGUAUAGCUAAAAUAUCUCUUUCAAUCGAACAUCGGUAAUAAUGAAUCUCAAAGCAAUACGAUGAACUUUUUCAUCAAUUUCAAACUUCUACGAUCAAUUCUAAUAAUGGCUCGUCUUUGGAUUACAGUUCUACAUUUAUGGGAUCGGGGAUUUCAGAUUCUAAUGCUUAUACAUAUGACGAUGAUGGUGCUGAUAUUUUUGGAUUGAAGAAGGCCAAAAGCGACGACGUUCCUGGGUCGUUUGUCUCGCCACCAAAGAAGAGUGAUUGAAUUGAUGAUUUGUUGGGUGGUUUUGGUGUUGGAGCUGAUUGGAAUUCGAAGAGUCCGAAGCAAAAUGAAGCUGGUUUUGAUGAUUUGGUACCUGGCUUUGGUGCAAGCUCUUCUCCCAAGGGAUGGGUCUUUUCUUGGCUUAAUAAUUUUUUUUGAAUAGUUUAGCUUAAUAAAUUUACUUCACUUUUUAGAUUAUAAUUUAGUAAAACUUUUUACUCUUCAUGUAUAAUAAUAAUAAAAAUUUAAUGAUAUAAUUUCAGUCCAUACUAGAUAAAAUUAAUUCAGCACCCAUUUAAAGAUGAUAAGUUAUUAUUUGCAAUAGCAAAUUAAAGGAGAAAAAGCAAGCGGUGGUUACACACAGACACACUAAUUUUCCCCUACUUGAAUAAACUAAACUAUGCAAUCAGAUGUCUAUGCUUAAUAUAUAGACAAUCAAAUUAAAAAUAAAAAUUCAUUGCAAAAUCAAUGGUAAUUCCAACCCGUAUGAAUUUGUAAUUCUUAAUUGUUCUUCUAUUUUGGUAUAAACUGGUAAAUAAAGUAGAAAUAUAUCAUCGAUCAAAAGAAAGAGGAAACACAAACUAAUUCAUAUUUAUGUUUUUCUCGAUACUCAAAUUUACAUAAGAUUGUAAUUAAUAGUAGUAAUAAUAACACGACACCAAGACUUGCCACAUUGUUUGCAUAAAUACGACUAUCAAAUCGAUAUAGUAGUUAAGGAACAAAUUAAUUAUCAUAGCUACUAUUUUCUAAUAAUAAUAAUUAUAUCUACUAAUUAUUGAAAUUUAUUUAUUAAUAAAUUUAAAUAAUACUAUUAUUAUUAUUAUUAUUGUUAUUGUAAUUGCCAAAAUAUGUAGCAACUUACAACAUGCUAUGAGUCCAUAAAUAUUGCAAAAUAUAUCCAAGAAUAAAUAAAAUUAACCAAAUCCAGACCAGGGUAAAACAAGUAUAGGAUUAUAUGAGGAACUGCAUGAUAAACCAUACAAAACCUAGAAAAUCUAAUUGGCAUAUCUAAAAAUAUAAUAGUGAAUGGCACGUGAUUACUAACAAAAUCACGAGCCUAGAGGUCAAAUAUAGCAAAAACCAGUUAGGUACACACUUGAGUCAAAUUUGCGAGAAACAUCAAGAACAAGAAAUGACUUUACUUAUAAAGAAUGAUCAGGUAUAAUUCGAAUUGUUAGCUUAUUUAAAUUAUGAGCCAGACUAUUGAAGGACUUUUUACUAGACUAUCAAAGGAUUUAUUUCCCUUCAUAUAUUGUAAUAAAAAGUUUUUAUUAAUAUAAUGUCAAUCCAUACUAUAUUAAAUAUUUGACUAAAUUAUAGCUUAAGGCAACUUAAUGUGAUAAAGCUUAAUGCAAUCCAACUUACUUAAUACAACAUAUAAUGACGAACCAAAUGCACCCAAAAGAUAAGAAUACUUGAAUUAAAUAACAUGAUAAAAAUAAAAGCAUGAAAAAUUAUAAUACUUUUUGUAAUAGAACUAUUCGAUUAAGAAAAAAAAGUACCAUAAUAUGUAUAAAAUUUUGAAAUAAAUAGAGUGUAAAGUGUUAAAUGAAAUUUGAUAAUGAGUGUAAAAAAUAACCUAAUAUUUUAAAAAAAUUAUAAUAAAAAAAGUGUAAGGUUUUAAAUUCAACAUGUAAAUGAUUCAAUUUAAAAAUAGUAAAAUGGGGGUACCGUGAUACAGGGGCAACAUUGAGUAAAAUAUUUAUAAAUAUUAUAUAACAUAAUGUGCUAACUGAAAUGUACCUUUGGAUGCAGGUAGAAAUGUUAAAUAAAAAUGAAUUAAAGGAGUUAUAUGGAAAUUUGUCACAAAAGACAACAGAAGUAGUAUGAUACUACUGUUGUAACAUAACUGGACCCGUCCUUCUUAUUAUUUUUUUUUGAGUUCUGCUAUUUACCCCGGGUCAAACCCCAAAUUAAACAAAACGACGUCGUUUUGGCUUCUUUUUUUUGGUCCUUUUUGCUUCUAUGGAACGAAGUCGUUUCAGCCAAACAAAAGCGAAUGUCUUCGUUUUCAUCUUCUUGUCCUCUUCGAUUCUCCUCUUCGUUUCACCAGCCGUUUCAGUCAAUCGAAAGCAAACCCAAACGUCUUCGAUCUUUAGUGUUGCAAUUUGGCUGAUCUAGUGCAAGUGCUGAAUAUUAUUGCUCCGCAAGUGCUGAAUUUAAUUGCUUUGCAAGUGAUGAAUUUUGAUAGCUAUUGUCAUUUCCAUUUUAUUUAAUUUUCGAUUGAAGUAAAAUGUUAAGAAAAUAAGUGUGUUAAAUUGCAAUUGAUAUUCAUUUUUCCUUUCCGCACUUGAUUUGGGUGCUUAAUGCCCAGUGUUGAGGAUGAAGGAUGAUGAAAAUGAGAUUUUGGACCGGAAGAAACUGUGUACAGAUUUGUAUGCAUUUUGUUUUCAAUUGCUCUGCAUUUUUUGAUGAAUUGUUGUGCAAGUGAUUUCUGCAAUUUGUGUUGAAUUUGUGCUCUGUUUGUCUGUAAUUUGUGUUGAAUUGGUCUGCCAUUUGUGCUGCAAUUGCUCUGCAUUUUACAGCUCCAAUACAAACUACAAACGGACUUAUAGGGCUUCAGAUUUAGAAGAAAAAGCAUAAACCUAGGUGAGAUUUACCUUUAAAAAAAGUGAAAUAAUUAUAAAUAAUAGAAAGCAAGUUAAUUAGAAGCACAAAAGCAGAUUUUGUGGACACCAAAAUAGUCUAGAAUCAGCAGCUUUAUUGCCUUCUAUAAGCAUGAGAAAAAUCACACACACACACACACACACACACACACACACACACACACACACACACACACACACACACACACACACACACACACACACACACACACACACACACACACACACACACACACACACACACACACACACACACACACACACACACACACACACACACACACACACACACACACACACACACACACACACACACACACACACACACACACACACACACACACACACACACACACACACACACACACACACACACAUCACUACUGCUGUUCAAGCUUUUGCUUGGGUGUGAUGAAUCGAAGAGGAAGAGGAAGAAAAAGAAAAGCAGCUGCGUUUUUUCUGUUUUCACUAGGCUGAAACAACUACGUUUCAUGGAAGCAAAGAGAGAAAAAAAAAAAAGAAACUAAAACAAUGUCGUUUUGGUUUGAUUCGGGGUUUGACCCUGGGAAAUUAUGAGCUAGACUAUUGAAGGACUUUUUACUAGACUAUCAAAGGAUUUAUUUCCCUUCAUAUAUUGUAAUAAAAAGUUUUUAUUAAUAUAAUGUCAAUCCAUACUAUAUUAAAUAUUUGACUAAAUUAUAGCUUAAGGCAACUUAAUGUGAUAAAGCUUAAUGCAAUCCAACUUACUUAAUACAACAUAUAAUGACGAACCAAAUGCACCCAAAAGAUAAGAAUACUUGAAUUAAAUAACAUGGUAAAAAUAAAAGCAUGAAAAACUAUAAUACUUUUUGUAAUAGAACUAUUCGAUUAAGAAAAAAAAAGUACCAUAAUAUGUAUAAAAAUUUGAAAUAAAUAGAGUGUAAAGUGUUAAAUGAUCGAAAAUCAGACAUAAAUUACAAAAAAAUAAAAUAAAAAAUAAAAAAUUAAUAAUUUUUUAGACUUUAAACAAUUAACAAACAAACUGUUAAUAAUAAUCUUUGUUAAUUCUCUUAAUUUUUUUUUUCAAGGUUUAGCGGACAAGACCCUCUCAAAAGCCCUAAUUUAGUUCCAAUACUCAUCACAUUAACAUAGGAGCCCAUGUGAGCAAUGGGCCCCGCAAAGUCUUUUUUUUUUCCCCCAAAAAAAAUAUUAUUUAUAAAUUUCAACCAUAUUUUUGUUUGCCUCCGUAGGAUUUGAUUAUUUGUGGGGAUAGAUUUUCGAUCUAAUACUCAAUAAACGCGUCCACUGCAUUACAACUAUUAAGUAUAUAUAUUUAGAAUUGUAAUAAAUUUAAAAUUGUAAUAGAUUUAUAAAGUAGUAUCAAGUUCAAUAUCUAUAUAGUUCUUUUAUAGUGAGAACAUCAUUAGUUUAAGUAAAAUAUAAAAAGAUCAUAUAUUAAUAUAUUAAAAACUGUAUUUUUUGUCUGUUAAUAUAUUAAAAUUUAUAUUUUUUUUAUAUUUUACUGAUAUUUUCAUUUUAAGAAAAUGAAGUAUGUACUCGUUUCUGUUAUUUUAUGAUAAAAACAAAAGCAAAUCAAACAUAUCUGAUACGCAUAUUGAUACGUUACUUGCGUUGUAAGUUGCAAGCCCCACAACUGCUAAAUCUGCCAAACUAGCUAAUUGACCAUCCUGAUAUCCUGUGGCUCAAAUGGCCUUAUCAAUUUUGUAAUAACCAAAAAAGACACAAUCAUCAGUCCCCUUCAAAUCCAACGUUCAGAAAUUUCGAAUCAUGUGGUUGAUGCGCAAUUUCUUGGCUGGUGGUGGUCAUGAAGAGCUCUCUCUUCGAAAUGUGGAAACUAAACCACACAUGUGGUUCCUCGCAAAUGCCAAAUCCCAAUCGAGAGGUCAAAAUCACGGGAUGAGUAUUUUGAGGAUUUUUUUUCCAUUCGAGAAGGAUAUAUGGAUAAUUUUAUAUCUAAUUUUUUAUUCGAAAAAUGAACGGAGAAAAUUUUUUGCAUAGUUUUUUAUUCGGAGAAGAGACGGAAAUGGAGUGCAAUCCCCAUCCCCUCCUCAUUCCCCUAUUUUAUUUUUUAAAUUACUAGUAAAUAACUAAUAAAAUUUAAAUUAUAUUAUAAAAUUAUAAAUAUUGGUAAAAAUAACAAAUAUCAAAAUAUUUAUAUUAUUAUUAAAUUUUUAGGCUUAAUUAACUAAUUAAAGUCUUAAAUUUUUAUUUAGGACAUUAAAAAUGCCAGAUAGAUUCUAUUAGCCCAAAAUUUUUGUUUUAAUUUUAAUUUUAUUUUAUUAAAAAUAUUAAUUAUCUAAAUUUAUUUCAUUUGUUUUAUUGUCGAUAUAAAACAGGAUUAUCAAGAUUAACAAAGAUAAUUAUUUUAAUAAUUUAUAUUUUGUAUGUGACUUUUGUAAUGAAUCAAUGUUAAUGUAAGAUAUAUUUUAAAUUUUAUUUUUAUUUAAAUUUAAAUUUUAAUAUAAUUAACUUAAAAUUAAAAAAAUAUAUAUUAAUUAUUUAGGGAUCAGAGAUUUUCAGAAAUUUUCUAUUAUUAUUUAGGAAGAGAAUAUAAAUUUUCGCAAAUACUUUUAACAGAGACAAAGAGAAGAUAUGAAAACACGUAAAAUAUGGGAGACAGACGCGUGAGGAGAGAUUGGUCUCCUCCCCUUCCCACUGCCAUCCCUAGUCAAAACAAAAAAAAAAAUUGUCAUUUUCUAAAUACACGCAGGUCGUACGUUUUGUUUGGAUUCGGGCAAAGCCCGUAACGUCCUGAUAUUAUAUAAUUGAUUAAUUAAUUAAUUCCUAAGGUGGGACCGUUUCUGUCGCUCUCAAGUCUCAAUCAUCUGUUGGUUUGGCCCCAGUGCCGCGAAUCGAUAAUGACGCCGCCCUCACUCGGCAACAAUAUUUUCGGUGAAGUUAAGAGAUGUUAUUCCAAACGCUUUCUUUUUCAUUUACGUCACCGUUUCGUAUAGAAGUAGAGAUUGGUAAUAUUUGGUAUCUCUUCAAUGUAUUGAAAUAGUCAAAUAGAGAUCUCGUCGUUUCGUUGAUCUCAAUUUUUAAAUUAUGCUCCAUAAAUGUCUGAUGGAUGUCGAGAAAAGUGAAUAAAUUAAAUUUAAAUUCAAUCUCUUUCUCGAGUUCAAAUACAUUACAACAGUAGUAUCAUACCACUUCUUUAUCUUUUAUGACAAAUUUUCAUAUAACUCCUUUCACUCAUUUUAAUUUAACAUUUAUCUCACAAGUAUUAAAUUAAUUUCUAUUUGCAUCCAUACAAAUAUUUCAAUUAGCACCUUACACUAUUUCAUGUUUCCAAUGGCCGCAUCAAAAUAACCCACCUCCAAUGGCAUAGCCCUUAGUUUCUCUUUGAAUUCCGGCUUAAAACCCUCAUCAUAUAGAUAAAAUCAAAAUUCAUUUAGUGGGGGCUUUCCCGAUGAUAAUCUCUUUCAAUCCAACAUCGGUAACAAUGAAUCUCAAAGCAAUUCGAUGAACUUUUUCGUCAAUACUUCUACGAUCAAUUCUAGUAAUGGCUCGUCUUUGGAUUACAGUUCUACAUUUGUGGGAUCGGGGAUUUCAGAUUCUAAUGCUUAUACAUAUGACGAUGAUGGUGAUGAUAUUUUUGGAUUGAAGAAGGCCAAAAGCGACGACGUUUAUGGGUCAUUUGUCUCGCCACCAGAGAAGAGUGAUUGAAUUGAUGAUUUGCUGGGUGGUUUUGGUGUUGGAGCUUAUUCGAAUUCGAAGAGUCCGAAGCAAAACGAAGCUGGUUUUGAUGAUUUGGUACCUGGCUUUGGUGCAAGCUCUUCUCCAAGGGAUGAGUCUUUUUUUUGGCUUAAUAAUUUUUUUUGAAUAGUUUAGCUUAAUAAAUUUACUUCACCUUUUAGACUAUAAUUUAGUAAAACUUUUUACUCUUCAUGUAUAAUAAUAAAAAAAUUUAAUAAUAUAAUUUCAGUCCAUACUACAUAAAAUUAA